AUUGAACGCUGGCGGCAUGCCUUACACAUGCAAGUCGAACGGUAACGCGGGGCAACCAGGCGACGAGUGGCGAACGGGUGAGUAAUGUAUCGGAACGUGCCCAGUUGUGGGGGAUAACUGCUCGAAAGAGCAGCUAAUACCGCAUACGACCUGAGGGUGAAAGCGGGGGAUCGCAAGACCUCGCGCAAUUGGAGCGGCCGAUAUCAGAUUAGGUAGUUGGUGGGGUAAAGGCCCACCAAGCCAACGAUCUGUAGCUGGUCUGAGAGGACGACCAGCCACACUGGGACUGAGACACGGCCCAGACUCCUACGGGAGGCAGCAGUGGGGAAUUUUGGACAAUGGACGCAAGUCUGAUCCAGCCAUGCCGCGUGCGGGAAGAAGGCCUUCGGGUUGUAAACCGCUUUUGUCAGGGAAGAAAAGGGCGACUCUAAUACAGUUGCCUCAUGACGGUACCUGAAGAAUAAGCACCGGCUAACUACGUGCCAGCCGCCGCGGUAAAAC
rnacentral:rRNA from 1 species